UACAGAGGGUGCAAGCGUUAAUCGGAAUUACUGGGCGUAAAGCGCGCGUAGGUGGUUUGUUAAGUUGGAUGUGAAAUCCCCGGGCUCAACCUGGGCACUGCAGUUGAAACUGGCAAGCUAGAGUAGGGUAGAGGGGUGUGGAAUUCCAGGUGUAGCGGUGAAAUGCGUAGAUAUCUGGAGGAACAUCAGUGGCGAAGGCGACACCCUGGACUCAUACUGACACUGAGGUGCGAAAGCGUGGGGAGCAAACAGG
rnacentral:rRNA from 1 species